AAAGACUUGAUUCCUGGGUUUUCAUAUCCAACGUUUGACUAUCCGUCUUAUAUAAAUUUUUUUUAUGAUUAGUAUUUUCAUUGUUGUUAGAUGAUAAAAUAUGACGUGACUUAUCUUUUUAAAUUUUUUUCAUAUUUUUUUCAAAUAAGACGGACGAUCAAACGUUGGACACGAAAACCCAGGAAUUGAGUUAUU
rfam:Oryza glumipatula chromosome 3, whole genome shotgun sequence.